UCUGCUUUAGGCUCAUACACCUUCCAGAUGUCUUCAGAGGAGGAAGAAAUGCAGAACUCCUCCCCGUGGCAUUAGGCAGAGCCUUUCUGAGAUGGAGAGAAUCUGGCUACUCCCAAGGUAGAAGGUUUUCAGGAAGCCAAAACCUGCAGAUAUGCCAAAGCCAGGUGAUAGACAUGGUGUUUACAUCAACUGCACAUUAAACCUUUCAGAGCACACAGCGUAGCACAAGCAGAAUGACCCAGGAACAUGACAUCGAAACCUGAACACUGAGCCCCUAAGGUUAGACCUAGCGAGAGCGGUUUUCUUUCCUAGGUGGGUUUGCAGUUCUGUAAGCGGAAGUCACCAGGCUGGUAGGGGGCCACUGGCAGUCACCCCCAGGGUAGGCCUGGCACCCUCUGCAUGAAUCUGCUGGUGGCCCCCUCUCAGUGCUGGACCAGGGCCAGAUAAUCACACCCAGGGUGGUGGCUGCUGGCCAAGCCCAUGACCCCUGGUCAUGAAUGGUGGAAGUGGUUGGUGGCCCUUCUCCAGGUGAGUGGUAAUGGAGGGGGAAGUUCAGAGGGACUGACUGUCAGCAGAACUGACUUCUAGCCAAGGCUAACACUGGGUGGGGCAUGAAGCUCCUCCCAUCUCCCCAGACUGGUGAGCAGGGACAGAGGUCAGGCACAUGGGCUGCUCCCUGCUCGGUUGGCGCUGCCAGGGCUGUGUAGCUGCCCCCGGGGUGCUUUUCCUUUCUCUGCCCAAGGUAAGCAUGAGCACAUUAAGUCUGCAAAUGUCCAUUGACAUGACCGUCCCCAUCAUUGAGACAGAGAGUAUAGUGUAGCCAUUAAGGGGUGUGGGCUCUCAAGUGAGCCUGUGUUCCCGUAUUCUGGCUGUGUGAUCAUGGACAAGUAACUCGACCUAUCUGGGCCUCAGUUCCUCAGUUUGAUAAGUGGACAUAAGUACCAAACAGGGUUACUGAGAAGAUCAGGUUAGGUGAUAGCUAUAGUGUGCUUGGAGAAGAUGAACCACCCAGUGCUUAAUAAAUAUUUAUUAUAAACCCCUGUGGCAGACAAUUCUCAACCUCCUUAGCUCUUGCCCACUUUCUCUUUGAGAGACUGAAAAAGUGAGGUCUUGAUCUCCCAGCCUGCCUUGCAGGAAGGUUGACACUUGACAUGAGAGGUGAAUGACAGUUGAAUGAUAAUCUUCUGGAGAGCUUCUGGGAAAGUUUUUUCUUCAGAAAUUGAUAAAGGUAUAGUUUGUCUGUAUUGCCUCUUACUUCCUGCAGGGAGGUGAGGCUCGUGUACGGUUUAGAUUGUCUGGCACUAUGGCAACUAUUUUGUGACCUGAGGCAAAAAGCACAAUGUGAUAUGUUAUUUAAGAAGUGAUGUGAACUGAAUGAUGUUGCCUUCAAUUCUUAAGUCAAAUCCCUACUCCCAAUGUAAUUGUUUAAAUGGAGGGCUGCUCUUAAGGGAAUAGUUAGAGCUAAAUGGAGUCCCAAGAAUGGAGUUCUAACCUUAUAGGGCUGGUGGUUUCCUUAUAAGAAGAGUAAGAGUCAUCAGGACUCUCCACCUGCGCAGAGGGACAACCAUGAGAUGACACAGAGAGAAGGCAACUGUGGACAAGUCAGGAAGCCGUGGAGAAAGGGCAGCCCUGAGCAGUCAUUUCUCUGCAAGGAGAGGUCUCUGCCAGACCUCACCCAGCCAGCUGGACCUUGGACACCAAGGUCCUGGGGCCACUCUGGGUGCUGGAUUCACCUCUUUCUGGGGAAGUCCUUGUAGGGCAG
rnacentral:lncRNA from 1 species